AUGUACGGGGCCAGUCCGGCGAAAUUCCGGUCGUUCACGCCGCCGGCAAUCACCCUGCAGCCCCCGCUCCCGCCCCACGACGACCCAUGGCCGACCUCCGCCCCUCUGCAGCCCGCGACUCCCCUCGCCGAGCCCGCCGGCGCCAAGGCUUACGAUCAAGAAAUCACCGCGUGCCACCGGUCCGUGGAGGCCGCGGCGCCGGACUACACCUCGAUGAUGUCGGUGCCCCAGAAGCCGGAGACCCCGCCCAUCCUCGCCGUCCUCGUCAAGUGGAUCGCCUCCGUCGCGGUCGGCUUCAAGACGCAGCUACGGUGCGACCUUGAUAUGUGA
rnacentral:rRNA from 1 species